rnacentral:rRNA from 1 species
UACGUAGGGUGCAAGCGUUGUCCGGAAUUAUUGGGCGUAAAGAGCUCGUAGGCGGUCUGUCGCGUCUGCUGUGAAAACUCGGGGCUUAACCCCGGACUUGCAGUGGGUACGGGCAGACUAGAGUGUGGUAGGGGAGACUGGAAUUCCUGGUGUAGCGGUGGAAUGCGCAGAUAUCAGGAGGAACACCGAUGGCGAAGGCAGGUCUCUGGGCCAUUACUGACACUGAGAAGCGAAAGCAUGGGGAGCGAACAGG